AAGAACGGUGAAGCAGAGGCACGGCCUGUGAGUUACUCAUACUCUUUCUUCCAUAUAAUCUUUGCGCUGGCGAGCAUGUACGCGGCAAUGCUUCUCUCGGGAUGGACUGACUCGUCAGAGAGUGCGUCUCUGAUCGACGUGGGAUGGACCUCUGUUUGGGUCAAGAUUUGCACCGGUUGGGCCACGGCUGCACUCUACAUCUGGACACUCAUCGCACCCCUCAUCCUUCCGGAUCGUGAGUUCUACUAAAUUGCAAUAUUGGUCAGUAGAGGGCAUCACUUAAUAAAAUCUGGUGAAUGUAAGUAUAUGUUUAUGUAUUAGCAACUUAAAAAUGGGUAUGGUCUUGUAUGUAGCUCUUUAUCAUAUUCUAUAUACUUGUAAUUAAAAACCUGAAGUAAAAGACCUUGAAUGUUGGUUGUGUUCUUGGAACCUUUGUAUUAUGUAGUGAACUGUUAUGUUCUGUUUAUGAUUGUUCUUGAAUGUUGGUAGUGUCCUUGGAAGCUUUGUCUUACUGUUUAUGUUCUGUUUAUGAGAACCAACCCAAGCUCUUGAUUCAUCACUUAAGUUGCAAGAACUUUUCCUUGAGAGAAGCGGUUUUGGUUACAGAAUCUUUUGGGGGACAAAGAAAUAAAAAUACAAAAACAAACAUUUCAUUGAAUUGUUUUGUUUAGUUCGUGCUGAAUAUUUUCUCAUCACCAUUGUUUAUAUAUAUAUAUAUAUGGGGACACACAAAGGUAUUUUGUAUCCUUAGUCAUUACAUUAGAAUUAUAUUUGACCAAAUUAAUUGCGCAAUUAAGAGUCAAAACAAAAAUAUUUAUUUAUAUUAUUAUUUGAGAAGUGAAUUUGCUGAUUUGUCACUUUCUAUAUAAUUUUAGGCUUAGUCAAUAGUUUUUAUAAAUAUAUAUUUUAUAUAUAUUUUAAUAAUAAACAGUUUUGGAAACGUGGUCAUAUAUUACAAUAUUUCAGAUAUACAAUAUUGAUAUUAUUUUAUUUAUUAUUAUAUAAAAUUACAUUUGAUUUUAGGUUAGUCAAUAAUUUUAAGAAUUUUUUUUAGUAAAUAAAUUUUAAUAAUAUAUAUAUUAGAUGAUAACCAGUUUUAAGAAAAAUAUGAUAAUUGUCAUCUCUACACAACUAUUUGAUAUUAUCUUAUUAAUAUAAGAUAAAAAGAUUCUUCUCUUAUAUGUCAUGCAAAGAUCAUAUAUUUUUAUUUAUUUAAAAAGUUAAAUAUUUUUGAAUUUUUUUAAUAUAAUAUCAUCGAUGGCAUAUACAGUUUGUUAUUUUAAUUUAUUAGUGUUUAGUUUAAAAAUAAGUUUUCUAACAAUUGUAAAUUAUGCUAAUAUGUGUUACCACAAAAGCUCAUGUUUAUUUUCGAUCGAUACCAAAGAAAUACUCGAUUAUAUGUUGUAUGAGAAACAUACAAAGAAACAAACUUACAAAGAAAAAAAUAUGAAUAUUUUAAAACAAAAGAGAUAUCCUAAAAAAAUUUCUAAACAUUGGUGGAAUUAUUGAUUUAUUGUAAAUUUAAAUUUUAAAAAAUAAAAUAAUUCUUAUUUUUAUUGCUAUAUAUAUUUUGUUGUUAUUUGGAAAUAAUAUUUUCUAUUAUAAAGUGAAAAUUUAUAAUUAAAUGUUAAUUAAACAAAAACAUUUGUAUAAAGGUUUUUAAAAGAUUUUUAAUAUGUGAGUGUUUUAAAAGUUUUGACUCAGUGAUAAGCAUAUAUUUAUAUUUUGAUGAGAAACUUUGUCAUAUAAAAAAAAUUGAUGUUUGAUUUAAAAUUUUCAAGAACAUUUGAAUUAAUCAAAUAUAAACUAAUAAAUAUUCGUAUGAUGAUUAUGCCCGCAUGUACAGACAAAACCCCUAGUUUAUUAGUACAAUAAUAAUCAAAUUAAGAUAGAUAAACAUGUUUAGGUAAUAAAUUUAUUUUCUCUACUUUUAUGCAUCCUUUGAUAUUCUAGUAAUAAUUACAUAUAGAUUCUGAUCUGGGAUUUUAAAGCAGAAGUUUCUGUAAUAAUUACAAUGCAUUUACUUAAAAUUAAAGAAUUAACUAUAAACAAACUUUUUGGAUGAAAUGGAUUUGAAAAUAUUUUUAAAAAACUCAAACCAACAGAAAUGAGGCUAAUAAAUUUGCAAAACAAUAACAAUCAAUUUUGGAAACGUACUAACCAAUAAUAAUGAAUUGUACUAAGAAUCUAGAACCAAUAACUAUAAAAUACAAAAAAUUUUAAAAGUUCAUAAUACCAAUUUCGUUAAUUUCCGGGUUUUGGGGUUGAUCUCGGUCUUAUUAAACCGAUUCAAUCCUAAUAUCCCGGUUCGUCAAACCGUGCACAUGAAGUUUAUGGGAAAAUGGAUUAAAUUGAUCUUUUCAUUUGUUAGUGUCUGAUUAUGUAAUUUCCAGAAACUUUUCAUCUCUUCUUCCUUGCACACAAGUUAUAUAUUAUGCUAGUUGUGUGAUUAUAUAUUAUUGUGUAUAGCUUAAAAUAACACAAAGAAGUUGAUGUAAAUGUUUUUUUUAUCUAUUUUGUUAAGUUUUCGAAACUAUCACUUGAUGAGCUUUUGUUUCUAUAUAUAUAGAUGAGGGCAUAUAUGCGGUUAAUUUCAGUGCUUAUACAUUCUUUUAGGAAUCUUAUCAAAGUUUGGUGCUGGAGCAUUUCUGUUGGUUCAAGUGGUCUUGUUGUUAGACGCUACACAUAACUGGAAUGAUUCUUGGGUCGAGAAGGAUGAAAGGAAGUGGUAUCUUUAUUUACCAUUAUCCUUUUAUUUAGCCUUUUUUGAAGUUUGAUCGAUGAUAAAUUUCUGGCAUAAUGGUUUUCUUUAUGUAGGUAUGUCGCUCUGCUUGUCAUAUCUAUCGUGUGUUACCUUGCCACAUACGCCUUCUCAGGAGUCCUGUUUAUGUGGUUCAACCCGUCUGGUCAUGACUGUGGACUAAAUGUUUUCUUCAUCGUCAUGACGAUGAUCCUUGCCUUUGUUUUCGCCAUCGUUGCCUUACAUCCUGCGGUGAAUGGCAGCCUUUUACCGGCAUCGGUUAUAUCUGUUUACUGUGCUUAUGUCUGUUACACGGGUCUCUCUAGCGAACCACACGAUUACGUGUGCAAUGGACUUAACAGAUCCAAGGCAGUGACCGCUAGUACUCUAACGCUCGGAAUGCUCACUACAGUUCUCUCUGUUCUCUAUUCCGCACUCAGAGCUGGCUCUUCCACCACAUUCCUCUCACCACCAUCAUCUCCCAGAGCAGGUACUUCCUCAAACUCCUCAAUACGCUUAGGCAUUAGUUUCUUCUGUUUUGCUUGAAAUGUUGUGUCCAGGUGGGAAGGAGGCAUUGUUAGAAGACCCUGAGGAUGGGAAGAAGAACGGUGAAGCAGAGGCACGGCCUGUGAGUUACUCAUACUCUUUCUUCCAUAUAAUCUUUGCGCUGGCGAGCAUGUACGCGGCAAUGCUUCUCUCGGGAUGGACUGACUCGUCAGAGAGUGCGUCUCUGAUCGACGUGGGAUGGACCUCUGUUUGGGUCAAGAUUUGCACCGGUUGGGCCACGGCUGCACUCUACAUCUGGACACUCAUCGCACCCCUCAUCCUUCCGGAUCGUGAGUUCUACUAAAUUGCAAUAUUGGUCAGUAGAGGGCAUCACUUAAUAAAAUCUGGUGAA
rnacentral:lncRNA from 1 species